GGGCUCGUGGUCUAGUGGUAGGACAACACCUUCACACGGUGUAGGUCGGGAGUUCAAUUCUCCCCGGGCCCA
rnacentral:tRNA from 1 species